rnacentral:rRNA from 1 species
CCUACGGGGGGCAGCAGUGAGGAAUAUUGGUCAAUGGCCGUAAGGCUGAACCAGCCAAGUCGCGUGAAGGAAGAAGGAUCUAUGGUUUGUAAACUUCUUUUGUCAAGGGACAAAAUCAGGCUCGAGAGCCUGACCGAGGGUACUUGAAGAAAAAGCAUCGGCUAACUCCGUGUCAGCAGCCGCGGUAAUACGGAGGAUGCGAGCGUUAUCCGUAUUUAUUGGGUUUAAAGGGUGCGUAGGCGGACUGUUAAGCAAGCGGUAAAAGCCCGGGGCUCAACCCCGGCGAGCCGUUGAAACUGGCUGUCUUGAGAUGUCGAGAGGGAUGCGGAAUGCGCAGGGUAGCGGUGAAAUGCUUAGAUAUUGCGCAGAACUCCGAUUGCGAAGGCAGCAUACCGGCGGCGAUCUGACGCUGAGGCACGAAAGCGUAGGUAUCGAACAGGAUUAGAUACCCGAGUAGUC